GGAAAGCCAUCUUGACCAAGAACGAAUAGAAUCUAAAAAUUUGGUUUAUCUCUUUAUUCAUUUCUCCUUCGCCCGAAAAGUUUGGAAUGCAGCAUACACCAAAAGACAGUAAGAAACUUGUGUGCAGGACAAAUGGCAAGUGGGAGCCUGGGGUCCAGUUGGAAGAUUACUGUGGUGUCUCAUUCCAAAAACCACAUUAUGGAGUGUAAGCGGGGCAAGCAAUCAAGCGUCAUGAUUGGAAUCCAUAAGUCCUUCCUUUGGUCUAAUUGGGUGGAAGCCAUACAGUCAUAGGUGGGACCAUCAGAGAUGAUUCUGGGUUGAUGAUUGUGGAGUUUUCAGGCCCCGCUGGAUGAGGAAACUCUAGUCUUGCUAAAGCUAAACCCAUGCUAAUGGGUAUAAAAUUUGCU